rnacentral:rRNA from 1 species
AGAAUUUGAUCUUGGUUCAGGAUGAACGCUGGCGGCGUGCCUAACACAUGCAAGUCGAACGGGGUUAAGAGAAAUUUUCGGAUGGACCUUAACUUAGUGGCGGACGGGUGAGUAACGCGUGGAUAACCUGCCUCACACAGGGGGAUAGCAGCUGGAAACGGCUGGUAAUACCGCAUAAGACCACGGCCCCGCAUGGAGCUGUAGUAAAAGAUUUUAUCGGUGUGAGAUGGAUCCGCGUCUGAUUAGCCAGUUGGCGGGGUAACGGCCCACCAAAGCGACGAUCAGUAGCCGGCCUGAGAGGGUGAACGGCCACAUUGGGACUGAGACACGGCCCAAACUCCUACGGGAGGCAGCAGUGGGGAAUAUUGCACAAUGGGCGCAAGCCUGAUGCAGCAACGCCCGCGUGAGUGAAGAAGUAUUUCGGUAUGUAAAGCUCUAUCAGCAGGGAAGAAAGGCUCUUCGGAGAGAUGACGGUACCUGACUAAGAAGCCCCGGCUAACUACGUGCCAGCCGCCGC